CCGAGCACACUGCCCGAACCACUGAACCUGAAGUAUAGAUAAUCCCAACCAAAUAUUUGGUUUUCUUACACAUGAAAAUAAUGAACAUAUACAGAUGAAGCAAAAGCUUGGCACUAUCAAGCAGGUCUUGAAGCUUACAGCAAUACCAUGAAGGCGGUUACCACCGGAUAGAAGCCAUGACUCGCCAUCUUUCGGUCAAUUCUAUCCAAAUCAAUAGAUAAAUUGUUACCUUUUACUCCACUUUUUCCUUCAACAAAUGCCCGCCUAGCAGAAGAGGCACAUGGCAGGUAUAGGUUAGGACUUCUCGAAGAAGGGUGGAGUCAAAAAGCUUCAGUCAGAAAGCCCACAUGCAUUGUUUCUCACACCGAUGUCUGCAGCUUCAAGUAUUAGAGGCCCACCCACAGCAGCAACUCGAGUAUAAACAUCACAAACUCUUGAACAAAUAGUCAUUCUGAAUCAGAGAUUCUUCUUCAUACUCGUUCAGUAUGCAGAUCAGGGCCUGCUUUCUUGCAGUUAAAACACAAGCCACACCUCUACUUGCUGUUACCAAAAAAAAGUCAACUUGAUUUCAGUCCAGUGUUCCUUAGAUAUAUGGCCAUAACUAACGUGAUGUUUAGAUACCUUUAUUCGGUAAAUGUGAAAGUACAACAAAUGAAUUAUGCUAAAACACAGGCGAGAAGCAAACCUUGUGUGCCUAAAGAGGCUAUGGCAUGCAUUUAACUAUGAAUGCUCUACAGUAUCUUGCUAUACUAGAUACCAUGAUAGUAUCUAUCAUCAUGAACUUGUAGAUAGUGGUUCUCAGUCCGUAACUCAAACUGUUAUGCACCAACGAUAAGAGAGAUUAUUCUUUCUGUAUUUGUCUGGCAAUUAUAGAUUCAUCCUUUUCACACUUCGUCCUCUCAAUUGAUUUAAGGGGAAACCUAAUACGUCAGCAUUUUACUUCUUC
rnacentral:lncRNA from 1 species